CGGGUGAGUAAUAUAUCGGAACGUGCCCAGUAGCGGGGGAUAACUACUCGAAAGAGUGGCUAAUACCGCAUACGCCCUACGGGGGAAAGGGGGGGAUCGCAAGACCUCUCACUAUUGGAGCGGCCGAUAUCGGAUUAGCUAGUUGGUGGGGUAAAGGCUCACCAAGGCAACGAUCCGUAGCUGUUUUGAGAGGACGWCCAGCCACACUGGGACUGAGACACGGCCCAGACUCYUACGGGAGGCAGCAGUGGGGAAUUUUGGACAAUGGGGGAAACCCUGAUCCAGCCAUCCCGCGUGUAUGAUGAAGGCCUUCGGGUUGUAAAGUACUUUUGGCAGAGAAGAAAAGGUAUCCCCUAAUACGGGAUACUGCUGACGGUAUCUGCAGAAUAAGCACCGGCUAACUACGUGCCAGCAGCCGCGGUAAUACGUAGGGUGCAAGCGUUAAUCGGAAUUACUGGGCGUAAAGCGUGUGUAGGCGGUUCGGAAAGAAAGAUGUGAAAUCCCAGGGCUCAACCUUGGAACUGCAUUUUUAACUGCCGAGCUAGAGUAUGUCAGAGGGGGGUAGAAUUCCACGUGUAGCAGUGAAAUGCGUAGAUAUGUGGAGGAAUACCGAUGGCGAAGGCAGCCCCCUGGG
rnacentral:rRNA from 1 species